GCACUGUUGUUCUAGUGGCAUGAAGCUGCCCUCGUAGCGCAGAAGCCGUGGUUCGAUUCCACGACGGUGCUCCA
rnacentral:tRNA from 1 species